rnacentral:lncRNA from 1 species
AGUGUCUGGAAGAAGUAGAGCCAGGAUCCACCCCUUCCCAGACCUCACUUAAGGGUUGGCAGCGGAGAUGAGGGCAUCUCUUGCUGGAGAUUCCUGCCUACCUGAGGCCUUAGAAAGUUGCUCUUCAAAUAAGUGUCAUGGAUGAAGGUACCCAGACUCUGGGGAAGAAUUGAGAUUGCCCAUGUAUCACUACACCAACCACAGUGUACCGAGUUACAGACAUUUGCAACAACAGACAUGCCAGACACGCAUUGCUAGUAGGUGUUCCUAAGUGGACAGCAUCUUGGAAAUGAAGGGUAGGAUGGAUGAUUGGAUGAUAAAGAAUACAGAGAUGAAACAGUCGGAGACAAAAGGAAAGAAGCACAGAGAUAUAAAAUGGCAGAGAGGUCACUGCCAUUGCUGAAUCCAGUAGUGUGCAUGUGAAAAACUGCUUGAUAUCUUCUUUUGCUUCUGUUGCACUGGGCUACUGCGAUCUACUCAAAUGGCAAAAGGUGCUCUGUGAAGGGAGCAUGAAGAAGUUGUGAAAAGUCACUGUUGUCUCCUCCACUAGUUUAGUAGACCACACACUGCAGAAGGCAUCAAAAAGAGGUUUGAUUAUAGUUGACCAAUGUCAUCUCUUCCUUCUAUGGUACCCAGAAAGCACACUGGUGGCAAGCAGGCUGGAUACAAGUGUCUCAGAUGUUCCCAGUGUCUCCACUGGAUUUUCAUGACAUAUGCACCACCUCCAGCCUUUCACAGUACACAACUGUGCUAUGAG